rnacentral:lncRNA from 1 species
GGGGAGGCUUCCCUGGGGAAGUGAGGCCGAGUCUGAAGUCUGCAGGAUGAUAGGCAUUUGCCAAGGUAAGUUUGGAGUGGAGCAGGUACAUAUUCCAUAUGAGGCAACAACAGGGCAAAGGUCAGAGGGGAGAGAGACUGAGGCACGUGGAGAAGUGUAAAAGAAAUUCCUUGGGGUUGAAGUGUGGCAAGUGUGAGCAUGUCCUAGAUAUUGAGAAGGGACAGGAGGAGAGAGACAACAUGGGAAGGAAAACCAUGCAGUCCCCGUAAACCUGCUGAGGAGUUUGCAUGUAAACCUGAGGGUAUUUAGGAGUCACUGAAGGGUCUUAGCUGUCCCUUGGAGAGUUGUCUAUGUGGUCAUGGUGGGAGAUGGUUGUGGCUUGAGUAAGGAAUGUAUCAGGAGAUGAAGCCCAUAGGACUCUGAUGCCCACUCAUCCUUCAGCCCCCUCCCCCAGCUCAAGCUUCCCAGAGCUCUCAGGAAUGUGGGUCUCCUGGCAGCAAUGCCACCUGUCUGUGUAAAGUCUGGUACCAAUAUUUUCUCCUCUAUUAUUUUAUUUUUCAUAUACUUACAUGGUUUUUACCAUGUGCCAAGCACUGAGUACAUUAUAAAUAUUAAUUAAUUUAUGCAUUGAAAAGUAACUAUGAAGCAGGCACUGUUAUUAAUCCCAGAGGAAGACAGGAAGACCUUGCUCAAGGUCACAGAGCUAGCUCAUUGGUGGCAAUGGCAGGAUGUGAUGCUGGCUGUCUGGCUUCUGAGUUCAUUUUAGUGUGUGUUUGUGGUGCUGGGGAUUAAAAACUAGGGCCCUACAUAUGCUGGGCAAGUGCUCUACCACCCUCCCCAAGUUUAUAUGCUUAACCAUGAUGCUGGACUGCCCUUAGGAGUAAGCUCACUUUAUCAUUGUACAUGGAGAGAAGCUUGCAUGUAAUUGCAUCUUACAUGAUGCACUUGUUGGAGGAAUGCUGGUAAUGAUUAGAUAUGCAUGCUGAAGAUGGCGAGGGCGGGGGUGGUGGUGGAGAAGGCAGGUGUCAAAGAUGACUUCCAGAACUUUCAACAUAGGUGGGAGGUGAGGCUAUUCUCUGCAUUGGAGACUAAGGAGAAGCUGUCAGUAGGAACUGAGUAAAGAACAAACUUUAAAAUGUCUUUUAUCAGAGACCUCAGCAUGGAGGGACAAGCUGAAACAGCCUAAUAGGUGCAGCUUGAUAUGUGGGUCUCUACCCCUCUAGGUUCAUGUCACCCGCUGCACUGCUGAGGAUAACAUCAACCUGAAAGGUUUUAGGCCCCAUCCCAUAAGAACUGAAUAAUAGCUAUUAGCUUUGGACUCUAGGCAUUUUUAUGAGAUCUUAGUUCCAGGGCUUGAGGUUUGGCAAAAAGAGCAUAUUAUUCACACACAAAACAACUGCGUUAAAAUAGCAUUAAGCAUCUGGCUUACACUGACGAAACCUAGGAAAUUCAGAAUGAUGGGGAAAAGUCUGUCCUGAGUUCACCCCCAAUACUAGGCAUGGUGCUGUUCCUCCUGCUGAGACAGGGAGGGUGGACUGAAAGACCCCCACUGGGUGGAAAGAGCCAUGCAGGCCUGGUGAGAGAGGAGGAGGAGGAGGAGGAGGAGGAGGAGGAGGAGGAGAAGGAGGGAGAGGAGGAGGAGGAGGGUCAUCCCAGCAGGAUCCAAUCUGCUGCCUCAGGUCUAUCACAUGCUUAUGGUGAUGCAGGCACAAAGCUCUGACCUAGAGGCUACUCUCUGAUCCCAGGGCCAUCUUCAUUUGAGAAACCCUAUUCUCUAUUAACCAGCCAAGCAACAGGAAAAAAGCAAUUGUUCUCAUUUCUAAAUUGUUCAAAAUGACUCUAAAAAUCAUGUCUUCUUAGAAGUAAGUGGAAGACCCAUUUCAUCUGUGCCUUUUCUUAAAUAGGAAAACUAAGAGGGUUCCAUGCUACCAGGUCAACACUGAGCUGCAGAUAAUGUGCAGGAAAAUUCAGGUUUCAGAACUGACCUGGCAAUCACUCUGCCAACGUGAUUUAAAAUGUUAAUAGUUCUCAGAAAUCUGGCUGAAAAUGCAUUAAAGCAGAGAACAGCUAGAAGUUGAGAGAAAGUAAUUUGUGUGCCCCUCUGACCUGUCAUUUAGCAGAGUAGGGACAACCUUGGCUCUGUUGAGCUGCUAUUGAGAUGUCACAGUCAUGAAUCUGUGACACUUCAUCAGAGACCACCAAUGGCACCCCCCUCUUUUUUUUAAAAAAAAAAAGAGACACAUGAGAGAUCAUUCAAAUAAAUUACUGAUUAGGAGUGUGGGAUGGACAGGCAGUACAAACAUGGGCAAUAAGAAGCUCAGUCACCCAGGACAUGGUGACAUCAGCAGAAGAAGGCAUCUCAAAGCCAAAGACAGACGGCACCAACAGACUUCUUGUGGAGCUCUGGAUAAUUCUGUUCUUUUGAGCAUCUUUAUUUAACUGUAUGAUGAGCCAUUUACUGUGACUUAAUUCUAAGUUUGAAUGAAAGCACAAGUAUCUGACAUGUUUCUUGGCAAUCUCUUUUGACAAAAGGACAUGUUUGUCUCUAGUUUUGUACUCAGAUUCCUUAGUAGGAACUGUCUUGAAUUAAAACAUCCUCUUUGGAGGUUGAAUUUUGAGGCUUUUUCACACCCUCCUCUCUGCACACACCCACAUUCCCACAUACGCACAUGCACACGUAUGCAUAGAGUCCUCCACACGAGGUGAGGGCUGGCUGAGCCUGGGUACCAGCUGCUGGCCUGUGCAUGGCAGAUGCCCACAGGACUGCAUUGGGGAGACCCCAUUGCUGUGUGAUGCAGACACAGGAGGUCUGAACCACUCUAACUAACCUUCCAGAAGUUCUUUCUGCUUGAUGGAGCCGCGUGGUUUCUUUCCUUGUUCGUUUUCUCCCUGAGCUAUGGAAACUCAGCAAGAAGAAAAUGGCAGAAGAAAUGCCUGAACAUCAGACACGGGGGCGGUGGGAAAUGAAGAUGAUUUAUAGGGUUUCGCUGGCCUCCGCUCUUUCUCCUUUCCUGCUUUUUGUAGCUCCACAUCCCACAGGUGUGAACACUGCAAACCAUGUAGCCCUGUUUUAUCAUGUAAUUUAAUAACACCCCACACUGAGUCAGGCCGAGUUGUGAAACCUUUGGCGUUCAGAACACCAGGUAGAGGAGGUGGGGGAGCAGCCUGCUGCGUGAGGUCACGGGGUGCACUCUCCUGGCACCAACAGGGGUGAGGCAGCUGCCUCAUGAUGAGCUUCUACUGGAAAUGACUGUGCCCACACAAACGUUUGGAUGCCAUAGAAACAGCAGGUCUCAAAGCCUGGGAUUGGGCUGAGCUUCGUGGUUGGCUUAGCCCCAUGACUGACUUCCUGUGAGGUCAGCUAACACCCAACACCAAGGUUUUGCCUUUGGCAACACCAAAAAGAGACUGUGGGGAUCCUGUGGAAGCUAUCUGUUUGCUUAGGACUCUUUAGCUUUGUUCCUGCGGAGGCAGGAGAGGGAUGAGAUGACUAACCCUAGAUGCUAUGACUCUGCUUCUGUGUUGAGAGGCUCCACAGGGUCAUUCUUGAGUAGGAGUUUGGCAGAGAGGACCAGGAAGUCUUUCCAACUGGAGAUGCUCAGUAGUAAAUGACUUCACGAAGGACCAUGGAACUGCAUGUUGUCAUUACUGGGGAAGACAAGACCAUUGUGAACAGAUACACUCUUACUGGGUAUUUUAAACUUCAGUCAAACAUGGCAUUGUUGCUUUUCUCAGGGAACAAAUUACCUUUCUGAUAAUGACAGCAAGCUAUUUCAUAGAAGACCCAGGUGGUUUCUUAUAUCAGCUAAGUCAUAAAGUUAACAAAAUUAAAAAAAAAAAAAAAAUUACAAGGGAAAACAAUCCCACAAAGUUUUAUUCUCAAAUACUUGAACAUAUGAUUAAGAUGUCCCCUUCUUCCCUGUCAAUACAUCAAAGAAAAAAGUAGCUUUUGUAUAGAAGAAUAUUAGCAAUGCUACUCCAUAAACUGGAAUGCCACCUGAGAGUGGCCCAGCACAGGUGCAGAGCAAGAGGGUUUUGUAAGGGCAUCUUAUGAGGGGUGAGUUCUGAGUUGGGUUUUGGAGGAGACCUGUAGGGCCAAGCAGAGGGACAGAGCAAGUUACAAUGGAGCAUGCGCUCAGCUCAUCGUGGGGUCAGAAAACAGAGAGAGAGGGGAAGGGACCACAGGAUGUGGCACCUUCUAGGGCACACCUCAUGUGACCCAGCUCCUCCAGCCAUUCCUUACCUGCCUAUGGUUCCCACCCAGUCAGUCCAUUCAAACUAGGACUAGGCCACAGCUCUCAGUCUAAUCAUAUCUCCUUUGAAUAUUCCCACAUUAACAGGAGCUUUGGGAGACAACUCAUAUCCAAACCAUUACACACAGAUACAUGGCUCAUAGGGACAGUUGUUCAAUAGGACAUAUUUAUAGUUUAGGGGGUUUUGUUUGUUUGUUUGUUUUGUUUUUCAACUCUUAAGACAUAAGCUGACUUUGCAGUCAGCACCUGUGUGGCCCAAAUAUAGACCAGCCACAGCUCUGUGCCAUGCCCUCUUUAGGAGCUGACAUGGGAUCUUGAACAGUACCAGCCAUGUCCCUGCUAGCAUGGGACUUGCAUUCUUUCUUGGAAGAUGGACAAACAGCAAGCCAAUCAAUGGACAUCAGGUCUAAGAGAGAUAAGUGUUGCAAGGAAAAUGAAAAAUUCAUGUGAUGAAGUGAUGGGGAGGAAGUAAGAGAGUUAAGAAAGACCUCUGAAGUUGCGACCUGUGAACAGAGACAGACUGACAAGAAACAGCCAGCCUUAGUAUUGGACAUGCAUUCCAGGCAGAGGGAAACAGAAAGUGCAAAGGCCCCACGAAGUGAGAUUGGCAUAUUCUAGGAAGAGAAAGUCCACGUGGCUGGGAAUUGGAAGGGAGAAGAAUAGGAAAGAAGGUAGGAUGUGUAAGCAUGGGCCAGGUCAUAGGGGACCUUGGAAUUCAUGGUGAGGAUUGGACGUCACUAUCACAUGUAAGAAGAAGGUUGAGUAGAUUUAACAUUGAACAUGUAAAACUGGUGUAUGAAUUAAACCCUAGUAACCCUUAAUCUCAGAGCACCUGUGACAUUAGUGAAGGGAUAUAAUUCACAAAUAGUGUGUCUGUAUAUAUAUAUACAUAUAUAUACAGACACACUAUACACACACACACACACACACACACACCCCUGGGAUAUAUUAGGUAGACCCAUCUGUAUAGGAAUUUUUAGACCUUGCCAGAGAUUCUAAUAUCUUUCACAGGUACAUUUUCUCAAGUAUUCAUACUGUAUCAUGAUCAUCCAAAUAACAUAUAUGGAUAUUCCAUUUCCUAAGCAUGUGUAUAGUCAUGAACGAUGUCCACAUUUAAAAUACAAUGUAUUGAGCCAGACGCAGUGGUGAAGACCUGUAAUCCCAGUGGCUCAAGAGGCUGAGGCAGGAGGAUUAAGAAUUCAAAGCCAGCCUCAGCAAAAGCGAGGCGCUAAGCAACUCAGGGAGACCCGGUCUCUAGAUAAAACACAAAAUAGGGCUGGGGAUGUGGCUCAGUGGUCAACUGCCCCGAGUUCUAUCUCCAGUACCUCCCCUGCAAAAAAUACACUGUGUUGUACAUACUGUAUACAGUUAUCAGCUCUCAGCGGCUCUUCUAGGUCACCAUGUCUGUUUAGCAUGCUGCAAACACAGUCUGAAAAUGAGAGGAAAAUCUCAACUCUUAUUCAAAACCAGCCACCAUCUGGGGGCCCCUGGUCUCUCGGAAAGAACCAGUCUGUCUGUUCUCAUCAGUGUGGCAGAUCAGAAUCGUGGGUAUCAAGUCAUUUCUGACAAUAUGUUAAAAGUGAAAUGUGCUUCCCCACCCCAUCUCCUUCCUUUUAAAAUUUAUGAAUUUUGCAGCUUUGUUAUAAACAAAAGCUGCUGGAGAUUUUCAGAAUGAGAUAUCCCUUCUUACAUCAGCAUGCAGAUGGCAGUCUAAAGGGGCAUAGAAUCAGUAAAUGUAGAUCAUCUUGGAACAUGUAGAAUGGGAUUUAAUGUUUGUAAGGCCAGGAGAGAGGAUUAUCAAAUUCAGACAGCUCAGAAAACACCAACCAGAGCCUGACUGGUCAGGAGUGUCUCAUGAUUCUUCCUCCUCUUCCUCAAUUCACAUGGGUCCUGGGCCCCAUCUUUCUUUGUCUUGUAGAAGCUAGUUAAAAGGUCACUGUGCUAGAAAGGUGGCAUUCAUGGAUAAUCCUGCCUGCCUUGCUCUGACAAGUCAGCGCUGGUGCUAGAGGUUCUAGGAGGUUGUUCUAUUCUUCUUGUCCUGGUGUUGGAUCUUGGGAUGGCACUACAUCUGCUACUCAUCAUUUAGCCUUUUCCCAUGGGUCCUCCAAGUUGAAACACACACAGAAAACUCAAAAUGCUAAGCUAAAAGAACCUUGUUUUUUGUUCUUAAUCUUUCCAUUUACAAUAAGAGAAAAAAAUACGAAGUGAAUGGGUAAUUUUCUGAGGUUACAACAGAACUCCAACAGAAAGUCACUUUCCCUUCUACCAAAUUCACCCAGCUCAAAGCCACCCCAGCUGAUCAUCCCUGUUAUGAUUUGGAUGUGGUGUCUCCCAAAAGCUCCCAAUGCAAGAAGGUUCAGAGGAAAAAUGAUUGGGUCCUGAGAGUCUUAACCUUAGUGGUGACUGAAAUGGUAGGGUGUGGCUGGAGGAGGUGGGAACUUGGGGCGUGGCUUUCCAUAUAUAUAUUUUGUACUUGGAUAGUGGAGUCUUUCUCUGCUUUCUGAUCACCGUGAUGUGAACUGCUUCCCUCUGCCACCCUCUCCCACUUGAUGUUCAGCCUCACCUCGAGCCCUGAGGAAUGGAGCUGGCCUUUUUUGGACUAAGACCUCUGAAACCAUGAGCCUUCAAAUAAACUCUUCCUCCUCUAUAAUUGUGCUGGUCGGGUCCUUUAGUCACAGCAACGAAAAAGCUGACUACAACAGUCCCCAUCCUCCGAGACUCAGCCCGGCUCCUACGGCUCCACUACUUGGUAUUCAAGCAGUCUGGAGGAUUCUCCCCAAGGUGACCACAGCAGAACACGAGCCAAGCGCCAAAGACAGAAGCUUUCCUCAUCCAUCUUACAUUAACCAAACCCUGUGGCAAAGCACAGCCUGAAAUUGGGAAGUGAGCAAGAUAAAGACACACGUUGCAAAAACAGCUCUCCUGUGCUCCACACUAAGGAUCCUGGCUGGGCCCCUCCGGCGUUCACUGAUGUCUCUAAUUCCUCCUGUUCAAUAAAGUUCACAAGCUUGUUUGAAGAGCUCUCAGAAGACUGGGAGUUUGCAAGGAAAUAAAGAGAAGAGAGGUUCCUAAGGGCCCAGAGCCACAGGCCAGACCUUCAAAGCAGCAAGAAGGUGCCCCAGACAGCGCUUGCAACACCAAGAGCCAGCACAGUAUGGAAAAGCUGGCCUCUGAAGGAGCACGUCCACGCGUCCUGGGACAAACCCUGCCAGCAGAUCUGCAGCAAUGAGGUUUUCAAAGCUCUCUCUGAUUUAAACAUCCAGAAAUGAUUUUAUUUUGUUCAUCACGCUGACUGGCAAGGCUGUUAAUUAACAUGGCCGAAACUGGGAAGACUGUAUUGUUUCAAAGGUGUGAACACAAAUAAACAGGCAAAGCCCCUCAGCUCUGUGAGAUCCCUGGGGGGCUUUGUGUAGGUCAGGGUCCCAACGCUCAGUUCUUCUCUUCAGCCUCCUCUGUAUACCCAGGUCUGGACGGCUCAGUGCGCCUCAUUGUUUCAUGCUAAGAAAAGUGAGCAGUUUUGGGAAACAAGGUAGCUUCACUUUCACCUCAAUGCAAAUUCCAAACGACACAGGCUGCCUGCGAAUAUUUUUGAGGAGUUGCUCAGUGGAACUUUUAUCUACAAUACUCAGCAAGAUCCUAAGGUGGGACGUGUUGGUUCUUUUACAUUUUCUACCUAAAUUGAACACCUCUGUGUAAAUUACACCUUGAAGAAUAAUGGACAUGGAACUUACUUUUCUUUUUAUUUUACAAUGCUGGUUAGACUAAGCCAUUGUUACAGUUGUUUCUGUUAAUAUAUACAAUACUUUCAUAGUUUCUUUACCCUUGCUUCUCUGUAUAGGUUUUUUUUGGUUUCUCCUCAUAGAAAGUAACUUGAAUCGAAAUUUAAAAAAAAAGUAUACAUGAUUGUUGUAUAUCAAUCAAAAGGUAAAAUAAUUUUUCACCAAGUAACUUGGAAAUUCAUUGUCCAUUUAGUGUUGCUAUAACAAAACACCGAAACCAAGUUAUUAUAAGAAUAGAGAUUUAUUUAGUUCAAAGUUCUAGGGGCUGGGAAGUCUAAGAAAAUGGUGCUAGCAUUUGCUCUGCAUCUGGUAAGGGCCUUUUAGCUUAAUUGUAAAAUGCCAGAGAGCAUGCUAGCUUGGGUGUCUCCUCCUCUUCAUAUAAAACCACUUAUGUAUGCUGCUAUGGGGCCCCUUCCUCAUGACUUCAUCUAAUCCUAAUUACCUCCAAAGGCCCCACCUCCAAAUACCACCAAUAUCUAUUGAUACAGAUUACAGUUCUAAUAUAAGAAUUGGGGGUGGGGAAGGCAUUCAAACAUAGCAGAAACCAAAGAACAUUAUUUCUAAAAGAAAAAAUCCUCUCCUGAUAAAAAGAAGUUGUUCCCUACAAAAUAGGAAAAACCCACUAUAAUCCUGAGCACACUCAGGUGUUUUUUGGAAGCUAUUUAAAAACAGGGCUGUUGCUCAAGACAGAAGUCUGGUUACCACAUCUGUCUAUAGAAGCUGCCUCAUGCAAGAGAAGGAGCCUGUGUCUUGGCAUGCUGUGACAUAUUACAGGAGGGUCAUGAGUACUGCAGUAACAGCCUGUUCUAAGCUCAGGAACGCAUCUUCAGGAAAGGAAGAUGCUCAGGUGCUCUCCUCGCCAGGGGCUGCCUACAAACAAAAACCAGUUGUUCAGGAGGCUUUCUGUAAGAAACCAGGGUAAACCAGAAAAUUUUAAAACGGCACCCAGUGAUUCAGGUGCCAACACUUUUAUGUUUGUGGUCUCUGGUCUUCUCAAAAUUCUCUAAAAAACUGGCUUUUCUUUGUCAGGUGUUGUGGUUGUUUCUCUCCCAUCUCAUGGACACAAAAAUAGCUAUCUCCAAACUCAGACCACCCCACGGACCUGCCAUAGUGGACAGCUUAGCUAGAGGCCGUCAUGGUCAACAGUGUUCUGAAAUCAAGUACCUCCUGGGUUGUCGAUGUUCCAGGAAAUGGGUGAAUUGCUCCAUGAUCUCCUUGUUGAACCCUCUCCUUUGCCUUCCCAGAUGGUUGUGUUCUUGGGAAAACUGUAAAAGACCAUUGAGGAAAGUACAAGUGCCAAAGAUGACUGGGAACAUUUUGCUGGCCAAAAAAAAAAAAAAAGUCAAGAAAAAAGUGUUUUCCAGCCAUGUUUAGCAAUCUGAGUACAUAUUUUCUCUGGGGUGAGUGUGCGUGACUAACAUGAGCCAGUUACAAGUGAGCAAGCAUUGGGAGGAAAGUAUAAACAAAGAGGAUUUCAAAUAAGCUACAGUGUUAUGAUUCUGAAAUUAAGCUUGCUGUUAAACACCGUACGAGAAGCAAGCAUUUUUACCUGACACCCCUAUCAAGGCACAUGGAAGAAAACUUUUUGUUUAGUGGAACAAAUGUCUACACCUCAAACAAAACUACUGAGCAUAUCUACUCUUAUAUGUUGAUGGAGCUGGAAAAUGAGGCUGGGGACCGCAUUACAGCUCAGGCAGGGUGACUGCCCUGGGUCUCCAGUUAGAGAGAAGAGAUCCAGGAGGCAGGCAAGUCAGGGAGAAAGGAAGGACCAGUUACUCACUCCCAGAAGGGCUGUCAGCCUGGACUGGAGGCCUCUCACCAAAGCUGCCAAUUUAUUUCCUUGAAGAUAUGUCUCUCCUUUAUUUUGGGGCUCCAAGAAUGAGGGAAGCUCUUAGGAAAGUUCUAAAAACAGUUUGAUUCCCUCUCUGAAAGAGCAAGAAUAAAAGGAACAUAGGUAAAAACAGGUGAAGGAUGUCCAUCACAGGAAGACCCACCUAAGAAAACAGAUUUCAGCCAGCAAAAUUUUUAUAAAACAAACAAGGUGAAAGAGAAAAAGAAGGGGAAAGGGAGAAGGAGAGGAGAAGGGAGGAGGGAGGAAGGAGGAGAGAAGGGGGAGGUGGGAGAAAGAGUAAAGGAAAAAAGAAAAGAAAAAUUUAAAGACAGUAAAACAAUAGAAAGCCAGGCACGUUGGUGCACGUCUGUAAUCCCAACAGUUGAGCAGGCUGAGAUAGGAGGAUCACAAGUUCAAAGCCAGCCUCAGCAACUUUAGCAAGACCCUAUGUCUAAAUAAAACUUUAAAUUAAAAAAGGGGGGGGGGCUGGGGAUGUGGCUCAGUGGUUAAGAGUUCCUGAGUUCAAUCCCAGGUAUUAAAAAAAAAAAAACUAAUUCAAUGUAAAUAUGCAUACUUCAAAUUUUGAUCUAUCUUAUUAAUUGAACAUCUAAAAAUGUUUAGUGAUUCUGCUGCUUCUGUUCUUUCUGUGCCUUUGGCUGACCCCAAAUUUAGAAAACCUCAUAAUAUUCAAAUGUGAGUUUUCUCACAUAAAUGAUGACUUUUUUUUUUUUUUUGUACCAGGGAUUGAAUCCAGAGGUGCUUUACCACUGAGCCACUUCCCCACCCUUUUUUUUUUUUUUUUGUAUUUUAUUUAGAAACAGGGACUUUCUGAGUUGCAUAGAGCCUCACUAAGUUACUGAGGCUGGCUUUGAACUCGUGAGACUCCUGCCUCAGCUUCCAGAGCUGCUGGGAUUACAGGCGUGCACCACCACACCCGUCCCAGUGCUGACUUUUGAUAUUACCAAUCUUUGUUAUUUGAAGCAGUCUGUCAGAAGAAGAAAAAAAAAAUGGCUUUCCGUAAUUUUCAUUAACAUUUCCCUGAUAAUUUGUAAGGCCAAACAUGUUUAUGCAUUUCGCUGGUCACAUGUAUCUGGCUGCACUAGCAGCAUUUUUUNCAAAUUUAGAAAACCUCAUAAUAUUCAAAUGUGAGUUUUCUCACAUAAAUGAUGACUUUUUUUUUUUUUUUUUGUACCAGGGAUUGAAUCCAGAGGUGCUUUACCACUGAGCCACUUCCCCACCCUUUUUUUUUUUUUUUUGUAUUUUAUUUAGAAACAGGGACUUUCUGAGUUGCAUAGAGCCUCACUAAGUUACUGAGGCUGGCUUUGAACUCGUGAGACUCCUGCCUCAGCUUCCAGAGCUGCUGGGAUUACAGGCAUGCUCCACCACACCCGUCCCAGUGCUGACUUUUGAUAUUACCAAUCUUUGUUAUUUGAAGCAGUCUGUCAGAAGAAGAAAAAAAAAUGGCUUUCCUUAAUUUUCAUUAACAUUUCCCUGAUAAUUUGUAAGGCCAAACAUGUUUAUGCAUUUCGCUGGUCACAUGUAUCUGGCUGCACUAGCAGCAUUUUUUUUGUGCUGGGAAGAAUCCCUUAAUGUGAAUGACAUUCUCAGCUGGGACCAGCGGACUUGAUAUUUUGAGGUCAGGCUUUGCUGGCAUCUUAGUGGAGAAUAAGUUCAGUCCUCAGGGACAGACUGACUUUUGAGAAAAUCUAGAGGGCCAACUUCUGUUAUGAGGUAUUCUAAAGUUGGGGUCAGCCAAAGGCACAGAAAAGAAAAGAAGCAGAAUCACAAAAGUCAGAAAUCUUGUUCAGGGUCAGACAAGGCAGUUUUCUAUAUUUCGAGACUAUGAGAAUCUAACAAAAUAACCUUGCUUGUCCCUAAAAUUUGAAGAUCCUUAUUUAGGGGUCAGUCUUUGAAUCUGAAAGUCCAUGGUUUAACUUCACUUAAUCACAAGAUUCUUGAGCCACAACUACUUGCUGAUCAUUGUCCUAGUUAUUGCGAGUAAAUACAGAGGCACAUAAUUCAGUAUGAGCUUUAGGUCAGACAGAGAAAAAUCCGGAAUCCCUAUGACUCCAUGAAAAAUGAGGAUGAAUGUGUGCAGCUAAUGGGACCCUCAACUGAAGCAAGAUGUCUACAGCACAUUUGCCUGGGACAAAGACAGUGUUCUGUGGAUAUGAACUCCCUCUCCCGUUCCCCCCUUCUCUCUACCAGUCACUUGUCAUUAUCAAUCCCGUUUACCUUACCAUGCUGGUGACCUUGAACACUGCACUGGGGACUUUGGUUUCCCCUGGCAGUGGAGCAGGUUGGGGACUGGAAGGGGGUGAAGACGUGAUAAACUGGGUUUACUGCACCAGAACCCAGGUUUUUCGUCUACCUGCUCAUGCACAUAUGCAGUGCUGGAUUCUGUACAAGCGCAUGCCAUGCACGAUUCAGAUGCUUUUAUAUGAAGAGACUUGUGUCAGGUAUGAGUCGGUGUCAGAUCCUGCUUUCUCUGUAUGUGUGUGGUGGUGGGGUAGGAGGCACAGAAGUGAACUGUCAUUGGGAAUGGCAGGGCCCCCUGAAGCAGGUGAGACCAGGAGCUGGCUGAGACUGAGGCAGGAGCCGCAGGCAACACCAGGCUCCAAGUUCUAACUUUCCACUCAGGACUGGGAUGUUUUCUUAUUGCAAAAAUCAAAUCUGACACCAUUCUCCAAUUUUUUCUUUUAUCAUCAGCAUCUUAUUUCCUCAAAUAUUUUCACUCUAGAGCCAAAGCACUUCAGAAAGUGCCCAAGCUCGGUAUCAUGCUCAGGAUUAUUUAAAGAAUAGAACCCUUUGCCAUCUCCACAAAAACUGAAAUAGCCCCCAGUGUGAGGAUUUGCAUGGGUUCUCACUGCUCUGCAAAUCAGAGAGCGCCUUGUCGGGUGGCCCUGUUUAUUUUGGUAAAUGUGUGGGUAGAGGAGGGAAAGGGGCUGUUUAAAAUGCAUUUGAAAUUUCAGUUUAAAAUGGUUGAACUCUCCAAGAAGGAACUUAGAUUUUCCAGGAAUAAAAUAAAGCAAACCUUAUUGCAGAUACACUUGAACUCUUCAGGGCCAUGUUGCUGGCUAUUUGAAUAGAGGUUUCAGAAUUUUUUCUUUCAAAUGUAUAAUAUAAAUUUAUUUCACUGAGGGCUAAGAACCUGUGGGCUUUCACAGCAAAUGUGCUGGGUUUUGACCACCAUCAGGUGGGGUCCUGAUUCCUCCAACCCCUUCUAAUCAUCUAAUAUUGACCCUCUGUCCAAUGGUGAGUUCCAGGACAUAGAACUUACCCAGAGUAUGCCUCUUACCUCAGUGAUUUUCCUCACUCCAUCUGGGCCCCUGAUGCUUUUUCCUCAAACUUCUUCCAGGGCCCAGGUCUCUGCUGUGGACUCCCACUGCCUAAAUUACUCACUGUUAGAGCAAAAAUGCUUCUGAAUCCCUGAAGUACUUCCUCAAUUUAGUAUCACAUAACUGAAUCAUAUUUCGAACCAUCAAGGAAAAGUAGUUAACAUAUCUAGUGUGCAAGAAUCACGCAGAAAACAAUUUUUUUUAAAAAAAGAACAACUUUGAGAAGAAAUUAUCUCCACCAGACACAAAAACCUACAAUCAACUUUUGUGUUCAAAAUAGUCUGGUACUGACCACAUGACAAAACAAGCAGACCAGUGGCAUAAAAUAAGAAUUCCCAAAGGAGAUCCAAGCACAUACAGGAAUUUAGUAUAUAACAAAAGGGUAAUCUUAAAUAUGUAGGGUAAAGAUUGGAGAAAACUGAGUAGCCACUGGAAAAAGAUUAGAUCCGUACUUCACACCACAUACAAGAAGAAACUCCAAAUGGAUCAGGACUCUGAACAUAACUAUUUAAAAUAUACAAGUACAUGGAGAAAAUAUGGGUGAACUCCCCUUUAAUUUUGGUAUUAAGGUCUCAAAACCCAGGAAAAAAAAACAUUUAAAAAUGGUAACUGUGCUACAUAAAAUGAUAAAAAAACAGCAUACUCCUGUAAUUCCAGCCACUCAGGAGGCUGAGGCAGGGUUGGAGAUGCAGCUCAGUGGUAGGUAGUUCCUAGGUUCAAUUCCCCAGUAUCGUCAAAAACAAAAACAAAAACAAAACAAAAAGUUAUGAAAAUGUAUUCGUAACAGUAGUACCACAUAUAAAGUCAAAAGACAAUUGACACACUAGGUAAAAUAUUUGUAACUUACACCACAGACAUGGUGUUAAUAUCCUCAAUAUUUAACAAAUUCUUAAAGAGAAGGGAAUGACAGAGAUCAGCAGAAAAACAGGAAAAAAGCAUGCACCAACAGUUCAUUUAAAAACACGUACAUGGCAUUCAAACAUAUAAGAAGAUAUUCAAAUAACUCAUAAUUGAAGAAAUGCAAGUUAAAACCUAUCAGAUAAGCCCACAUUUUAAAAUAUCUCAACGCAUUCUGUUGGCAAAGCUAGAAAAAAGCAGCUACUCUCCUGUAUUGCUGGUAGGAAUACAGAUUGGCUCAAUCAUGUUAGAGGGAAUUUGGAAAUCACUAACAAAAUAUUCAUGCACUUACCUUUCAAUGGAGAAAUCCCGUUUCUUGAAAUCCACCCUAAAGAGAAAACUCCAAAAACACAAAAAUACAAACACAUAGUUUAUACAUUGCAGUAUUGGUUGGAAGUCACUUAAAUGUUCAUACUUAAGAGAGCUGGUGAAUAAAUUAGAGUGUAUCCAUUCAAUGGAGAACUACACAGCUGUUAAAAGCAAUGUUAAAGGGUCUCUUUGAACCCAUGUGAUGUAUUCACUAGGCUACGUUAAUGAAAAAAGUAAAAUGUUAAAAAAAUUAAUAGCAUGUUAUCUUUUGCAUAAGAAAAAAGGGCGAAAAUAUACAUAUAUCUGCUUAAUAGUACAAAAAUAGAGAAAAGAUAACCUAGGAACUGAUGAGAUUGGUUGCAAACCAAGAAGUAGAUGGGAAUGGGUUGAAAAGGGUGGGAAAAAUAAAAGCACUGUAGACUGGUGUGGGGAGUAGAGGAGUAGCUCUUCUCUGAAUACACCUUCUUACAUGAUUCUGACUUUUGGCAACCAUAGUAGUAAAUCACUUAUUUAUUCAAGAAAAAUACAUACGUAAACCAGCAAGGAUGAGAAAGGAAAACCAAAUAGAAUAUGUCUUGGUCUGGGUCCAAUCAGGAGGCAAAAAUCAUGUGGUUUCAUAUAAUUUCAGUAGAGAGGUUUAAUAUAAACUGUAAUAGAAAGAGAGCUAAAAGGUAUACAGAGAACUUUAAAGUAUACACUAGGGCUGAAAGACAGGAACCACAGUAUGAACAGGCUUAGAAGGGCCUCUCUCCAAAGAUGAGAUUCAGGCCUCAUUUGAAGAUAAGGAGUAAUUUGGAGAGAGCAGGCAAUUAAUCGAUAGCUGGCAAAAGAGCGGGAAAAAAAAAUCAAUAUAAUAACAAAUGAAUAGCAUAUCCACCCAGAAGAAGCAACUAACCUUAAGUUACUUUGAAAACACAGCCCAGCACUUUUAUUAUAUGUGCUAAGACAAAAGAUAAAAUGAACCUUACUUCUAGGGGAAUGGGAAACCACUUUCUGUGAAUUCCAAUAUUGAACAAAUAAGUGAAUAUUAAUUACUGUGACAAAAGAGAUUCAGUUUUCUCAUUGACAGAGAAAGGAGUUAUAAAGUCUAGAAUAAACAUUGUGGGGUUGGACUGGAAUUGCAGGCAUCACUGUGAAGUGAUAUUAAUGAGUAUAAUGUAAUAUAAGUUUAGAAAAACAAAUAUAUAAAUAGACAAAGAAGUAUUAUUGUGGGGCAGGUCACUUAGAACACACACCAAGUCCCAGUUUUAUCCAAAUUGAAGAGUCUUUAUUUAGCGGGCCAGCCUGCCACUGCUCCCUGCAGGACCCAUAACUGUCUCUCCAAGGAACAGCCCCAAGCCUGAGCAUUUUAGGAUAUUUAAAGGCAAAAAUCACACCUUUUGGGUUGACAUAGCUGCAAGCAAGCAGGUACAGAAGCUGAAUUGGGCAUUUAGUGAGACAAGGUAAUGGGUACCUUGGUGUUUCCCAUGGGACUAUCCAGGUUGGCAUAGCACCAAGCAAGCAGAAGGGAAGGGGGUCAAAAUGACGCUAGUUCAGUACAAGUUAGAGAAUGGUUACUAGACAAUCAGUCUCUGACAAGGUACCAUUGCCCAAGAAAAAUGGAAACCAAAGAGAACAAUUUUACAUUGUAUAAGAAUUGCUAUUUUGUGUUGCCAAGUAUGUUAUGCUAGGUAACUAUUAAUGGGUACAGAGGCAGGGAUUUCCCAUGGGAGAAGCAUUUCUUACAGGAUAUGAAGUCUCAAGGUAUAAUGGAGUCUGUUUGGUUAUUGCCCUUAUAGCCUGGCCCAUAACAGUAUGUGUGUAUCCUCACAUAGAUUUCUAGCUCUCUUCAUUGAGAGAGGCUGAAAUCAAUGUUACUCCAAUAACAUGAGUAUAGUAUCCAGAUAUUGGCUUCUAAAUAUCAUUCUCCAACAAAAGAAAACAGAUUCCUUGGAUCCCAGAGAUAAGCAAGGAAAAUGCAAGAAGAACUUGAAACAUCUCCUGUUGUUAGAAAGUAAGGAAGUGUUUUUUUGGGUUUUUUUUUUGUUUUGUUUUGUUUUUUAAGGAUGGGGAUACAGUCACCAACCUGAAGCAGUUCUCUUGACCAAAUAUAAAUUUAGCAAACAAAAUGGAAAAUGACAGGAACAGACAUAACCCAGAGAAUAUAAUAAUCCAUGAAUCCGGGGCUGGGAUUGUGGCUCAGAAGUAGAGUGCUCGCCUAGCAGGGCGGGACUCGGGUUCAAUUCUCAGCACCACAUAAAAAUAAAGGCAUUGUGUUGUGUCCAUCUACAAAAAAGAUAUUCUCUCUCUCUCUCUCUAUCAAAAAAAAAAAAGAAUUCAUACUGAUGUAAAUAAAAAGCCUGACAGUAAGGAGGAAGAGAAAACUUUUCCUUACAAUAGAAUUCCAAUUAAUGAAUGUAGAAGUUAAGAUGGCAGGGGAAAUCACAAUUUUCAAGUACUAUAGCAAUAAUUAUUUUAGGAAAGAAUCGUCAACAAUCAUCAAUGAAUGAUAAAAUUAGUGGACACAGUAUUACGAGGAACAGGAUAUUUACAAGUCUCUUCUACAAAAACUCAUUAAUUACAAAGGCAAAAUAGUUAUUUAUAGUGGAGAAAUCUGGCAGAGAUCACUAUAAACACAGGAUCAAAGUUAAAGUCAGCUGUGAUUAGAAAAAUCACACAGGUGCCUCUUGGUAUGGUGCACUGAGGAGGUCAGAACAUCACAUCUAUAGUACACAAAAUGCACAACCCAAAUUAUGCAGAAUAAAUCAGACAACAGCAAAUUCAGGAACAUUCUGCAAAAAUAACUGGCCAGUGUUUUUUUUUUUUAAUGUAUCAUUAAAGACCAAGAUAGGAAGAGAAUUGUUCUAGUCUCAAGGGACUGAGAUGAAACAGGCAAAGCUGAUAAGGUGCAGAGUUAAGGGGGACUUUGCUCUUCGGGUCACACAAGUAUAGGGAUGGCCCUGACGAAGACCUGACAACUAAACGCAGCAUGUCAUCUGGUUUACAUCCUGGACGUGAGUGGGGAAUUGGUAAAAUUCAAGAAAGGUCUGUUGACUGUCGUGUCAAUAUGAAGUUCCUGAUUUUGAUCACUGUACUGUAGUGAUGUAGAAUGUUAACGUUGGGGGAAUCUGUGUAUACUGGAAUUAUCUGUACUGUUUGUACAACGUUUUGUGGGCUUAAAACUAAUUUCAAAUGAAAAGCUUGAAAGUUUUAAUUUUAAAAAUAUCAAAGACAAACAGCAAGUAACUGUGCAAGUCCCUCUGGUUGGGAAUCUGGUCGCAUAUGGGACCAUUUAUUAAGCAAGAAAACAGUAAUCCACAGAGAAGGCACAGCUUUGGAGCCAUCCAGAUGUGGGCUCAACUCUGGCCUUGGUGCUUACAAACGGCAAUGCCAGGCUGGUUACCUAAUCUCUCUGUUUUCUUUCCAAAUGGGUCCUCAUAAUCACAUCAACUUUAUAUAGUUUAACACAAUUGCCUAUAUUUGUGUCCAUAUUAUGUCCAUAUUUGUCCAGAACUUUUGACAAAUUCAACCAACAGGAUUUGUAGUAGUUGUUAUUGUGAUUGGUUACAAUGAGUUACAUCAAUGACUAGCUUACUCUUUGGAACACAUUACACAGGUAUACUGAGGGGCCUCUUGAGGACCAGGGAGAUACCCCAUAGGUUAUGCUCUUAAGGUUUGAGGUACUUCAUUAUAAGUAAACCUGAUGUGUGAAAUUCUAAACUUUUGAAACAGAGAAAUAGUGGGUGAUUAUUUUUUUAAGACAUGAUUCAUAGGCCUCUUUUGAAGCAAGUAAAAUUUGGUUUACUUUUAAUUUUGCAGUGACAGAUCUGUCAUAAAGCAUCGCCUUAAGCAAACUGAGAAAGGGCCACCGCUGGGUGACUCAGGCAUGGGGAGAUUCUGGCUUAAUAAAUCUUAACAAUGUUGACUCUGUCAAAGGGGCAAGGAGAAGCCAAACCCUCUGGUUUGUCUAUUCUAAGCAGAUUCUGAACUACUUAAAUGUGAUGACAUAGAUCAAAUAUUUGAGGUUAAAGAUUGCUUGUAGACUCACGCUUUCUCUUUUAAUCCAUGUUUGAGAUAACUCCAGGAUAAAUAAUGGGCAAGGACAGAAGAAGGGUGAGUACAGCUACACAGGAUCCUUUUUCAGUGCUAAGUCAAACACUGAAAUGUCUGGUGCUUCGGGUAAUAUGUUUAUUUUAUGAAAAGGAUAUAAGAUCAAGGGACUUGUAUAGCAACUAUUCCAUUUAUAAAUAAGGGGUGCAAAGCAUCGCAAACAAAAUACACCACUCUGCUGCCUUCCAAAUGCUUCCAAUAAUCCUUUAAGUCUAGGAACAAAGGCUAAAUUCCUGAAUAAAUUCCCUUAUCUUCAAAAUCUCCUCCAAAGUUUUGGAAACCCUAGCUUUUGGAUAUUAACUGGAAAGAGUUUCCAUCCAGUCAUUUGGAAAAUCAUCUCGAAUUCAUGCUAAUUUUAACCUAAGCAGAGACACUGGUAAUCCUGUACUGACCCCUUGUUGAUUGCUUUGUGGUCUGACCACAGUGGACACUCCAAAGCACCUUCAUCUUUGAGUCUUCAUCCAACAUUGAUCCCUUCACCGGCCAAGAUCUCUACCCCAAUUGCAAAGGUCUGGUAUAUCCAAAAUAAAAUAGUCGUGCUGACGUCCCAACAUUCCCAAUCCUAUCCUUUAGUCUCUGUGCAAGCAGGGACCUCGUCCAUCUUUGAGACUCAUUCUUCAGUUGGAUUCUCAAUCUCAUGUCCAGAAUGUGUCCUUUACUUUUCUGAUUUUCUUUAAAAAAUGCACAGGUGUCCCUCUUGCCUUCUCAGGAUGUAUAUUUUGUCCGGUAUAUUUAGUGUUUCCCUGCCAGGGUUAUUGGUGUAUGCUUUGAACCUGGUGUCUACCUUCAUUUCCUACUAGGAUCUUCAAAUACCCUUCUUCUCUGUCUCCUCUGGUGGACUUGUCUGGUUCAACCCUAACUCGAAGCCUUGCUCCUCAUGUAAGGCUGCCUGAAGUCUGUUCUUCUUCAUUGAUCUCAUUCAUACUCACUCUUAAAUGUCUAUCCUGAUCCCCUGAGGGUGCACCAGGGUUCCCCUUCUUGGAACUCUCAGCAAGCUAACUGCUGGCGGGAUUCCCUGCAUCUCACAGUUGCAUCCUGCUGGACUCUGGGGAACAUGUGGUCCCCAGUUCAUGCAGCUCUUUCUUGCUACCCUUCCUUGACCAGGGAGUGAGUCUGUGUUCCCAGCUGUGCCAACUGGGCUUUCCCUCCCAGCUCUGUGAAUCAAGAAUGGAGUGACCCAAGGAGGAAAAGGAUAAAGAUAGUCAUGUUGGCUGCAGAGCCUGGUGGACCUCAUUCCAUGUUCUGCCCCUACAUCCUGCAGGUACAGGAUCUUGUCUUCCCUGGGCUUGGCUUUUCCACAUUCCCUUCAUUUCUGAAAACCACACAUUCUUUCCUCUGAAAUUGACCAGAGUAAUGUCCAGCCCUUACGUCCACAAGCACUUAACCAGGACUCCUCUAUGGCCUGUUAUUACCGUUUAAUUUGAGGACUGGCUAAUGAGAUCUUGUGAGGUUGGAAGUUUCUUUAGUCUUAUAACUAAAUCCCUUACAUAAAUGACAUCCAUCCUAGUCAGGCUAUAAAUGUUCACUGACUCUACAUAUAGUACUGCUUCCAUUAGAGUUUCAGCAAUAAGUAGUUUUGAACAAUUCAACUGUUUAUUAAUUUAUGUAGUUUCUAAAACUGCAUGGUAACAAAAUAUAUGAAAAUCUUCUAUUGUAAAAAAGGACUAGAAUAAUUCUCUGGGAUCACUUUUGGAUUCUAUAGUAUAGUGAGGAUCAUUCAUUGAUGCCAUAAAAGCUUAGUGAGUGCCACUAUUGACCAUGUACUUAAUAUGUGAGGCACUGGAGUUGUAUAUAAGAUUAAAAAGCCAGCCUCAGCAAAAACGAGGUGCUAAGCAACUCAGCAUGAUGCUGUCUCUAAAUAAAAUAUAAAAUAGGGCUGGCAAUAUGGCUCAGUGGUCAAGUGCCCCUGGUAUCAGGCAUGGAAAACAAACAAAAUAACAAAAGAUUAAAAAGAUACACUACUUGGUUUAUCCUUAUACCCUAGUCAGGCACCAGUUCAUCCCAGAGACUCUUCCAGCUAGUGAUUUAUAGGAAUUCUGGAAAAAGGGAGAAUGGAAUGGAGAUGUGGGACUGAUGGUGAUGGGACCCUGACACCUGAGGAAUGGGUACCUUGUCCUGCUAGAAAUAGGACUUCUAAAAGAAAAAUCUAACUGCCAAGUGUGAUAGUGCAUGCCUAUAAUCACAGGGACUCAGGAGGCUGAGGCAGGAGGAUCAAAAGUUUGAGGCCAGCUUUAGCUAUUAAGCAAGGCCCUCAGCAACCUAGCAAAACCCUGUCUCAAAUAAAAAAAUAAAAAAGGGGCUGGGGAUGUGACUCGGUAGUUAAGCUCCUCUGGGUUCAAUCCCCAGUACCAAAGAGAGAGAGAGAGAGAGAGAGAGAGAGAGAGAGAGAGAGAGAGAAAGAAAAAAAAAGAAAAGAAAAAUCUAUCUGGAAGGCUGGGGUGCAAGGCCAUUUUUGUUGGCUAUAAGCAAGAUCUUCAGGACUAAAGGGCGUACACAGCUCUUCUAAAAAUCUAAGGGUUUAUGUCAGAGAAGAAACUGAAUUCCACUUGGGCAAGAUAUGUUCUUAUGUGCAGAAAACAGAAAACAACACCAUGAUUCCUGGUGGCAAAUCAGAGAAAACCAGAGUAAUCUGCGGAAAGGUAGCUCGUACCCAUGGAAACAGUGGCAUGGUUCAUGCCAAAUUCAGAAGCAGCCUUUCUGUUAAGGCCAUUGGGCACACAAUCCAUGUGACACUGUACUGCUCAAGGAUUUGAACUAAAAAAUAAAUAAAACUGGAUUUGUGCUCUUGUAAAAAUAUUUAUAUAUAUAUAUGCUACUUGUUCUGGCUCUAGUACAACUUUCCUGAAUUAUCUGGAGUUACUCUCCAGUUUAACUUGUGUCUUACAUAAUGAUGGUACCUGGCUUUAAUUUGGAACAUUUAUUUCGGAAGCCUUCUCGUAUAUAGCACCUUACGUGUUAUUCCUGUUGUAUUCCUGGGGAGCUGCGGUUGGGUCAUGUGAUAGGAUCAAAACCAGAGCUACCUCGAGAAGACAGGCGCUUCACUUUAUGGUGAUCUUUCUUGCUUCACUUUACGGUGAUGUUUCUUCCCUUCCUCUCCUCCAUCAUGAGAAACUUCUCCUUUGGGACUUAAUUAAAUACUGGAGUUAUAUUUUAUUUCAUUCCGGCCUUAAGUUUUCUGGUCAUACAAGAUAAAAGCAAUCCUGAGCUUUCGUGAGACGAAUGCUCCAGAAGUACUAGUUAGCUACUGGUCCAUUUGGCUGAUCAACGUUUAUUUAGCACACACCAGGUACAACACAUUAGGUUACCUUGUGAUGAUAACACCAGUCAAGACAUGCUCAGCCCCUGCGCCCCCCGAGUGCACAGUCCAGGAGAGAGCAGGUCCGAACCAUGUGGAGUGGGGGAGCUUGGUGGAGGAGAUUCAGCACAUACUCAGGUUUCCCAAGUGUUGAUGUUCACAAGGAAGCAGAAUUGAGUUUCUUAGUUGGCCUGCAUCAUUUGCAUAUUGGCUGGAAUCCAUCAGCUUUGUUCUCUCUCCUCAUCCCAGAGGCAAUGUACUUUCAUCUUUAUCUUUUCUCUCCAAUUUCCCCCUUUCUCCUUCAAAGUCUCUCUCCCUAACUCCAAAAGUGAUGCCCAACACUCUUCUCAUCCAUAGUCCUGAGGGACACUCAGUGGUCCUUGAGCUCUACAAAUAUGUCCAUUCCUGAGAACCAAGGGACUGUCUUUGUUCUACUGUUAAUGGUCCAGAACAGGACCAGAGGGAACAUGGGCCAAAGGGCAUACCAUGAAAUGUGUCUGAAUGUGCCCCCACUUUAUGCUCUUUUGCUUCUGGGGUCAGUAGAAGAAUAUAAAGCUUUUCAACUUUCUUCAAAACGUGUGCCAUGAAACUGAUUUAUCAAAAAGAAUAACAAUAGGGGCCAGCACAGUAGUGCAUGCCUAUAAUCCCAAUGACUCAGGAGGCUGAGACAGGAGGAUCACAAGUUCAAGGCCAGCCUCAUCAACUUAGUAAAACCCUGUCUCAAAAUAAAAAGAGCUAAGGCUGUAGCUCAGUGGUAGAGCACUCCUGGGUUUAAUCCCCAGCACCGCACCCCCCCACACACACACACAGACUAGUCUGUCAGUCAGCUUUUGGUCACUAAGACCAAAUUACCUGACAUAAGCAAUUUAAAGGAGGAAAAGUUUUUUUUUUUUUUUUUUUUUGGUUCAUGGUUUCAGAGAUUUCACUCCGUGACUGGCUUAAGACAGAAACAUCGUGAAAGAAGAGAGUGGCAGAGGAAAGCUGCUCAAUGCAUGGCAGCCAGGAAGGAGAGUGGGAGUGGGGAGGGAGAGGAGCAAGAUAUAAUCCCCAAGGGCAUGUCUCCAGUGACCUACUUCCUCCAACUCUCAGUAGUCCACUCUACCACCCACUGAUGAGGUCAGAGCCCUCAUGACCCAAUCACUUCCCCAAAGCCCCACCUCUGAACAUCACUGCAAUGGGGAGGAAGACUUCAAUGCAUGAGUUUUGGUGGGGUGGAUACUUCAUAUCCAAACCAUAACAAUAGCAAGCAGUCAUGAAGUAAAACUAGACCUGUGUUGAAAGGGCAUUUGACACAAAGACUGCAUUUUCUUUUCUUUUCUUUUCUUUCCUUUCCUUUCCUUUCCUUUCCUUUCCUUUCCUUUCCUUUCCCUUCCUUCUUUCCUUCCUUCCUUCCUUCCUUCCUUCCUUCCUUCCUUUCUUUCUUUCUUUCUUAUUUAUUUAUUUUUGUGGUGCUGGGGAUUUAACCCAGGGGUAUUCUCCCACUGGGUUAUACCCCGUUUUGCUUUUAGUUUGAGAUAUUAAAUUGCCCAGUCUGGCCUUGAACUUGUGAUCCUCCUGCCUCAGCUUCCUGAGUUGCUGGAAUUUACAAGUAUGUGUCACCACAUCUGGCAAGAUAAGAUUUUUCUAGCAGUUUAGAGCACACACUUGUCCAUUGUUAAAAUGUACAGCUUUCUAGACAGCCUUAAAGAUGUUACUAUGGUUUUCUUAGAGAGUGAUUUGUACAAGGCAUUAUUUUAAAUCAUAGUUACUGCCAAAAGAGGCAGAUUGGGGCACUGCAGGAUAAUUGGAGGGUGGGGGAGUGAAGAGUAUUACAAGAUUUUAUACGUACUAAAUUUCUAAUCUCUGGAAAGUGAUAGAGAUCUGAAAGAAUACAAAAUGUAGAUUAAGCCAGGAAGUAAUUUAAAAGUCUGGAUAUUCGAUCAUAAUACCUAGCAUUAUUUCAGAGAAUUUGCUAAUAUUAAUUACUCCUGGCAGCAUUCACAUUACCUAAUGUCAACAGCUGCAUUUUGUCUUCACUGGUGAAGAUGAACAAAAAGGGAGUUAAAGGAUUGUUCAGAUCUGGAAAGGAGUUGGAGGCAGAGCUUGUUUCUAAAUCUUGCCUUUUCUACCCAUCAUUAAGAACUCCAGCUUGGAGGAAAGACAAGUGCAGGUUCAAAUUCCAGCUCGGUCACUUCAUAUUUAUGUGACCCUAGGCCACUUGACUAUGUGGACCUCAGUUUCUCUAUCUGUAAACUGAGAACUUGUCAUAGAUUACCAAUCCCUGUAUCCAUUCCUUUUGCCAGGCUAUUUUCCAGUAGUUUCCCAAGGGCAGGAGUGCAUUAAGGUGCUCCCCUACAUUUUUAGUCUUCGCCAUGUGACUUUCUUUGGCCAAUAAGCUAUUAACAGACAUGUUGCAAGCAGAAAGAUUAAAUGGAUUUAAUUAGGCUUAUUCAGAGUUGUGAUCGGAGCUCUGCAAUUGUCCCCAGAACAUAACCAGACCUGCUGGUGGAGAAUGAAAGGCACGUGAAGCUGAUUUGCUCCAUUCAGGCCAAAAACAGCCAGGCUCGAUCAGCCUCCAGUGAGCCCAACUCUCCAUGGCCAGCCAAGAUCAGCAGAUCCGUUUAGCUGUUGUGCCAGAUGAAGAAGCAGUAAGUAGUUAUUUCUGUAUGCCACUGAGGUUUCAUUAAACUUUUCCUUAUGCAUUAGGGCUGUGACAAUAGAUUAUUGAUAAGUGAUUAUUGUUUUGCAUCACUGGGACCAAAAGACCUGACAAGAACAUUUUAGAGGAGAAAAAGCUUAUUUUGGCUCAGAGUUUCAGAGAUUCAGUCCAUGGUCUGAGCACUGGAUGUGAGAUGAGGCAGAAUAUCACGACAGAAGAGCACAGUGGAGGAAAGCACCUCAGGACAUGGCAACCAGGAAGGAGAAAGAGCACCACUCACCCAGGACAAAAUAGAAACCCCUAAGGAGCACUCCCUGUGACUCACCUCCUCCAAGCACACCCUACCUGCCUUCGAUUACCACUUUAUUAAUCAAACCAGAGGAGUAAUCCACUGAUUAGGUUACACCCCUCUUAUCUAAUCAUUUCACCUCUGAAAGUUCUUGCCCUGUAUCACACAUGAGCUUUUGGGGGACACCUCAUAUAUAUACCAUAACAAUGGUAAUACCUGUAAUACAUGUAUCAAUUUAAGUGGGAAAAUACAUGGCAAUCAUUUCACCCAGUCCCUAAUAACAAUAACAACAAUGCUAACAUGUGUUGUUCUUUAAGAGAAACAAUUUCAGAAGAGGCAAAAGUAUUGGAAAUUCAUCUGUGAAUCCUGAACAACACAUUUCAUUGGCAAGUUUUAAAGAACCAGGCAAUUUUAGUUUUUGUAAAGGUCCAAAAUGAUGAUCCAAUUGCAUUUUUAAGCUUCUAAAUAUCCUUGCAAGCUAAACGGUUUUUCUUUUCCUAAAAUAUUUAUUUUGCUAAAAUUUUAAAAAGCAAAACCAAUACACACACACACACACACACAAGUAAAGAGAUUCAAAUUCACAGUCUACUGAGAGAAGCCAAAGGCUAGCCUCAUGAAUAAACCUAAGCUGUGGGUUCUACUGCCGUGAAGGGGCUGGGCAGGGAACAAUGUUCAUUACCAGCCUCUGUUCUUUUCCUAUUUGUAAAUCUUGGAGUCAUCUAAUAUAAUGGGUAAGAAAUGGGAGACCUAAAGUUUAAAUUCUGGUUCUGCCCCUCUGUGAUCUUGUGCAAGUUAAACUUUAUAAACCUCUAUUACCUCAUUCCUUAAGUGGGGAUAAGAACAGUAACCUCCUAAGGCUGUUCAGGGAUCAUAUAAAAUUACAGCUGCAAAGCUCCUUAGAGCUGUGCCUGACACACAAUAAACAGUCAAUAAAUAUUAGCUAUUCCUACUUAUUCUAACAGAGAGUCUGCAUUCUCUCCGAUUCAUUUCUAUUUUAGCUAGAUUCUGGGGACCACGUGGAUAUCUGCGUUAGCUAAGCCUAAGAUGCCUUGCUUCCAAACAGGUCAUGAGCACUGAAUCACCUAUAGCCAUCCCAGAUAUAGAUCAAAAACCAAGUCUCAGAUUUCAUGCUCCAGUGUAGGGAAAGGCUACACCUAUGAAGGAGAAGAAGAGGGUCAGGACUUUGGAUGGCUGCCAAGAGCCAUGUUUCUUUGCUACUUCUAAGUCACCCACCCAGCCUCUUAGGAGAAAAGUUUUCAAAGUGACUUGCAGAUUUAUACUGUAGCUCUGCCUGUGACACACAGACAGAUCAAAUGACCUUCUCCUAAUCAACCAAGGGCAUGAGCAGAUUCUCCUUCUCCUGGACACCAAUGUUCUUUCUUUCUUUUUUUCCUAUUUCUCUAUUAUUAAUUUAGUGAAAUCAACCACAGAACCAGUCUACCCUGAGUAUGGGCGUCCUCCUCAGAUAGGGGAGAAGCCCAAGUUCUCACUCUCUUCUCCAAGAAGCCACCUCCUGGGUGGCUUCUUCCCUCUCUUCCUCCCUGACCUCUAGAAGUCAAAGAGAUUCCUGUUUCAUCCCUCAGGGCUUUCGUGAAUGCCAAUGCCAAAGUCAAUCACAAUUCUCUUCCUCAUCUUCAACCCUGCUCAGCCAAUGCUACCCAACCAAACAGGGUGAACAAUGAGUACCAGAUGAAAAUAAGGCCCAAGUCAUAUGCCAACACUAUAAAAUUCCUGAAAUUACUGCCACCUUAUAAAAGUUAACAAUACAAAACUUUCUCCCAUUAUCAAUUCAAUCUGCUGCUCCCACAAAGAAAUCUCAGUCCAAAGUUCUACCCUUUACUAUUUCCCCUUACUGACUUGCUUGCAGGCAGAAGGGAUGGUAUUUGGGGGUGUGGGUGGAAUCUGGGGUCCUACUUGAGCAGAUGUACCAUGGGCACUGCCAAUGUAGUUGGAGUAGAGCCUUAGCACCUCCAGCCAGGGACUAUUUCUGUCCUGAGACAUUCAUUUCCCUCUUGUCUAAAACACCCAAGGGUCAACAGAGAGCACAUGAAAAUAUCAUGGCCCCUGCCUUAAUCCCAUAAAAUUCAGAAGCACAAACAAAUUCCAAAUUAAAAAUACAAACAUCCAUUUCCACCUAUGCUAGUUCCCAAGCAAAGGACAGCAUUUCCCAGAGCCCCACAUAUGUUAUAAUCCAGACCCUUAUUGCUAGUGACCAUUGUAAAGAUUUGGUGUUGUCCAGGUCUGCGGGGGAACUAAGUCCUUUUCUUUCCAGGGAGUGAUGCCAGUGAAUUUGUGCCAACCUUUAGAAUUUAGGCCUUGGGGAGUUCACAGGACAGAGCAAGCCUGCAUGGAGACCCGAAUUGUGCCAUGUUCUUCCUGUGCUUUGCCUACACAACGGGAGCUUACAGACGUGGAUCAAAUGGCAAUUUAGAAAACAAAGAUGAAGGAUGUUCUAUUGCCCUCAUCACUAACUUGCUGUUGCCAAGAGUAAUCAUUGUGAAGAGAUAAUG